ensembl:lncRNA
UUUUACAGGCAAUUGGAAAAAAACAUCUCUUUUUUUUCCUAGACUGAGAAAGCCUCAGGGAGGAAAAGUGCUGAAAUGUGCAUAUUUUGUAUGUGAUUUUUUUUUUUUAAGAGGAAAGGGAUUUUUUUUUGUCACGAUAGGUUGCUUCAGGAAAAGGUACUUAUGCUUUUGGAAACUUCUCAAGCAAAUCAAUCAGUUCACUCCAGUUUAUUGCAGAUGUUAUCUUUGCCUUAAUCAGGAAGCAGAAAGGUUACAAGAAGUUGAGAAGGAAAAUGCAGUUCCCCUCCCUGAUGUGCAGCAAUCUGGUAGUCUCUACUAAUAACCAGGAGCAUGAGUUCAUCAAGAUGUUGUUUUCUGGAUUUAAAUCAAGAACAUCAUUGAAAUCUGCUUUUGCUGUCAGACAUGAGCUAUCCCUUAGGAGGUAGGGACAGGGCACCACCUGGAAUAUCCAAGUAGGAUCAUGCUGGUCAUGAUGGAAAAUUGGUGUAAUGUCACAAUGGAGCUGCAAAGCUACUCGAGGCAUCCAUGAGACCUCAGGGUGGAACUGAUAGGAGCUCCCAUUUUGUUAGACCUGGAGUAUUCCAAACCUGUCCACCAUGGGAGAGUUCUGCUCAUGUUGGAUAGCUAUCAAAGUCCAUUUGUCUCUCUCCUACAGGCAAGGAGCUGAAGCAGUAGCUGGCAUAGGUCAAGAUGGUGCUGCUGAAUCAGUUGCUGCUGAGGGAAAAUAACAUGGUUCCCACUGUGUGUGCUAUCUAUGUCUUGGGAUACUUCUGUGAAGGAGAAAAGUUGUGAAUCUCCAGGUACUUCUGAUCAUUUCACAAGUGCAUGUCCUUUAAGGUGAAGAGGGACCAUUAGUCUCUGACCAUGCUUCAAGUGGGUCACAGAGUCUCAUGAAGUUACCGGUGCAACAAGGCAUAUAACUUGCAAGUUAGGAAUAAGACAAAACAAGUCAGCUAGAAUGAAAGCCCUGGGGUGUUACUGCUGCUGCAUCCAUGGAGGGCAGAGGAAUGUGCUCAGAGACUGCCCAGCCAGCACUGGCCAUGCGCUUGCUUCUCUUCUGGCCCAGGCAAAGGUCCUGGCCAUCCUCUUUAAAGUAUCCCUAAGUAUGAGAGGAGCAGUGCUGCCAGGAAUAUUUGCUUGUGAAGCGGUUAUAAAGUGGAAAAUGUUAUCUUAAUGAGCUCUUUCAGUCACCAAAUGCUAGUAAAGCGGAAUCUUUCAGUCACCAAAUGCUAGUAAAGCAGAAUCUUUCAAUUUUGUUCUUUUUUUUCCCCCUUGGUUCUACAUGGUUUACAAGCUUAGGAUAACUGAAGAAUACAACUUGCCUUUAGAGAAACCUCUUCCCACCGUUGACAAUUCAAAAUGUUAGACUUAUUCAAAAUGACAUUUGCAUGUCUAAGUGGAUAGAUCACUUUCAGUGUGAGAGUUACAAAGUCUGCUCUCAUCUGUCACUGAGUUUAUGGAAGUGCAUCUUCUCAGAACAAGCUUCUCUUUUUCUUUCUUUAAGUUCUUACACACAAACUUCACUAACUCCCGUUACAAAAUUAAAACUGUGCUGACACGCAGUUUUUUGUAGUCUUUUGAGUGGUUUAUUGUGUAAUGGCUGAUUUGUUCCAGAUUCCACUUCAAGACUACGUUAACAACAGGGUCAUCCAGAAUGUUCCCCCUUUCUGCUAUUUCAAGAAUUGCAAGUAUUCUUUGUGUUCUAUCAUGCAAAUGUAAAUACGAUCCCCUGGCCUUUGUGAAGCUAAACUGUAAAUGAAACAAUUGGCAAUUUCCUGCAUCUUAGGGUAAGAUUUCUUGUCUUCUUCAGUCCAUAAGAUUCCUGUCUCUCCUUCACCUGGUCUACUUCUCCACCUUUUUCUACAUUUGCUAUGUAUGGGCUGCUUCUGUUUGCCUGUUGUUCUUGAUCUAAUGGAGCCGGCCUCAAGACUGAGUUAACCUGAUUGCGUGGCUGCUGUGCUUACCAGGCCUCCUGCCUGCAGGAACACAAUGCUGCAGGACUUCCUGCAUGUCUGGAGCUGAGCCAGCACAAUUGCACCACAGUCAGUCCCAGGACUUUUUGCUGUUUCUGC